rnacentral:rRNA from 1 species
UACGAAGGGUGCAAGCGUUACUCGGAAUUACUGGGCGUAAAGCGCACGUAGGUGGCGACGUAAGUCGGGUGUGAAAGCCCCGGGCUCAACCUGGGAAUUGCAUUCGAGACUGCAUUGCUGGAGUACGGAAGAGGAAGGCGGAAUUCCCGGUGUAGCGGUGAAAUGCGUAGAUAUCGGGAGGAACAUCAGUGGCGAAGGCGGCCUUCUGGUCCAGUACUGACACUCAAGUGCGAAAGCGUGGGGAGCAAACAGG